UUCUUCACUUUCAGGUCCUGGACACCUGAAGAACCACCCAGCUGCCCCCUGGCAGGGGUCUCAUGAGCCAGCGAGGUACUAGGAUGAGCCCGUGAGUCCAAAGCCCAAGACACUCAGGUGAAGGCUGGAUCAACACUGAGGCCCUACCCUAGAGAUGAAGGGUCGGGGGUAGGGCCAGCAAAGAAGGAAGAAGAUAUUACCAGUUUCUUGCAAAUAUAUCAUCUUUACUUGGUAAAAG
rnacentral:lncRNA from 1 species